GGAAGUCCGCGGUGUAAACAAACAGAAUCGGUGUUUCGGCGGGUAGAAUCUGGAUUAAAUGAGAAGAUGGAGACAUUAAGUAGACGGGGACUGGACAGGAUCUACUCUGUGGUCUUUCUGGCGGUCGUGGUCUUGUCCUGGUCUUAUGUGAUCUACGCCAGCAGAAUCGCGGCUCAUUGGCUGCUGGAGAAGAGGACCACCGCCCUCCAGGAAGACUGACACUGGAGCGUCAGUUCACAUUUUUCAAAACUCUGUUUCCUGUCCGUCGUCCUGCUCUGGGAUCAGCUGAUGGACCAGUUAAACACAACCUGCUACAGACCUGGCCUCUAGAGACCUACAGAGACCUACAUAGACCUGUACAGACCUGCAGAGACCUACAGAGACCUGUAGAGACCUACAG